rnacentral:tRNA from 1 species
AAGGGAGACCUAAUUCGGGUAGGAGACGAAAAAAAAGUAGUCCCUACCAAGAAUCAAUCCCAAAAGGUCGGAGCGAGGCGAAAUUGGCUUUCAAACUAGGUUCUGGGUUCACACAAGACCUGAAUCAGGAACAAGGGCUAUUAGCUCAGGUGGUUAGAGCGCACCCCUGAUAAAGGUGAGGUCCCUGGUUCGAGUCCAGGAUGGCCCACCUGCACAGGUGGCAAAAACAAAGAAAAAAAGCUCCGAAUCAGCACCUUAUCUUACUUAUAUAGUAAGAGAGAAUGCUGGCUCUGAGUUCAGAGUCCAGAGGAACCUUGAAAACUGCAUAGAGCUAGGUGAAAAAGCCAAAAAAGAAGACCGUCA